GACGAACGCUGGCGGCGUGCUUAACACAUGCAAGUCGAACGGAAAGGCCCCUUUGGGGGUACUCGAGUGGCGAACGGGUGCGUAACACGUGAGUAACCUGCCCUUGACUUCGGGAUAACUUCAGGAAACUGGGGCUAAUACCGGAUAGGAAUCCUUGCUGCAUGGUGGGGGUUGGAAAGCUUCGGCGGUUUUGGAUGGACUCGCGGCUUAUCAGCUUGUUGGUGGGGUAGUGGCUUACCAAGGCUUUGACGGGUAGCCGGCCUGAGAGGGCGACCGGCCACAGUGGGACUGAGAUACGGCCCAGACGCCUACGGGAGGCAGCAGUGGGGAAUAUUGCACAAUGGGCGGAAGCCUGAUGCAGAAACGCCGCGUGCGGGAUGACGGCCUUCGGGUUGUAAACCGCUUUCAGCAGGGGCGAAGCUUGUGGUGACGGUACCUGCAGAAGAAGCACCGGCUAACUACGUG
rnacentral:rRNA from 1 species